rnacentral:sRNA from 1 species
AUUUUUUCUUCUUCUUCUUUU